rnacentral:rRNA from 1 species
CUGCAGCCCGAGUGGUGAUCGAUUUUAUUGAGCCUAAAGCGUCCGUAGCCGGACUAGUAAACCCUUGGGUAAAUUGGGCAGCUUAACUGUCCAAAUUCCGAGGGGACUGCUAGUCUUGGGACCGGGAGAGGUCAGAGGUACUCCAGGGGUAGGGGCUAAAUCCUGUAAUCCUUUGGGGACCACCAGUGGCGAAGGCGCCUGACUAGAACGGAUCCGACGGUAAGGGACGAAACCCUGGGGCGCGAACCGGAUUAGAUACCCGAGUAGUCC